GUAAGUGAUUACGCAUAUUACGGUUCGUCCUACGUGUAAAACACAUCGUAUUGGCUCUUUGACGCCUUUUAUUUGUUGAAUCCAUAUUUAUUAUUGGUUACUGAUUUCUUCCAUGUAUGCUAGAGCACACAAACAUACACGAAAUGUUUUGGAGAGAGGAAUUGGGCAGAUGAAACGUCGGUUCAUGUCCUCCACGGCGAAAUACGCCUCUCCCCAGAGAGGGCAAGCACAGUCAUCAUUACUGUAUGUGCCAUUCUACACAACCUCUGCAAGCGGAGGAACAUUCCACAGCCAGAUGAUGAUGAUGAUGAUGAUGGCGAUCAACAUGACAAUGAAUUUGGCCGUGUGGAACCGAGUGGACUGGGAUUUAGGGAUCACUUUGAAAACACAUUUUAGGCUACAACGUCAUUAUCGUGGUCUGCACAAAAUUGUCAUCAUGCGUGUAUUCUGCUAACUGCACUAUAACUACUUAAUAGUAAUUCAUUUCUAGCCUAGGCUAUUUCCUUGUUUUUCGGUGAUUCAGUGGGCUCGUCUGAACAACCAAUCACCGAACUGACUGCUUCUAAACUCGUGCACGAGAAUUGACGUAAUCCAUAGCAACGGCGCGUCACUCUUAGUUCACUCUUUGUGAUUUAUCCUUAGUAAGAGUAGGUCUCAGCGGCUUUGUGAAUAACUUUUAAGAAAAAACUCCUACGUAAAAUGUUUUAGCGCGAGUUAGGAGCACUCCUAGCGGUAAGAUAAAAUGCUUUGUGAAUACGGCCCCUGUUCUCUAAGUUAAACCCCAAUCUAUUCGGAAUAAGUGUAUACAUGGCGAUUAUAACG
ensembl:lncRNA